AUUGAACGCUGGCGGCAGGCCUAACACAUGCAAGUCGAGCGGUAGCACAGAGAGCUUGCUCUCGGGUGACGAGCGGCGGACGGGUGAGUAAUGUCUGGGAAACUGCCCGAUGGAGGGGGAUAACUACUGGAAACGGUAGCUAAUACCGCAUAACGUCGCAAGACCAAAGAGGGGGACCUUCGGGCCUCUUGCCAUCGGAUGUGCCCAGAUGGGAUUAGCUAGUAGGUGGGGUAACGGCUCACCUAGGCGACGAUCCCUAGCUGGUCUGCGAGGAUGACCAGCCACACUGGAACUGGGACACGGUCCAGACUCCUACGGGAGGCAGCAGUGGGGAAUAUUGCACAAUGGGCGCAAGCCUGAUGCAGCCAUGCCGCGUGUAUGAAGAAGGCCUUCGGGUUGUAAAGUACUUUCAGCGGGGAGGAAGGCGAUAAGGUUAAUAACCUUGUCGAUUGACGUUACCCGCAGAAGAAGCACCGGCUAACUCCGUGCCAGCCGCCGCAGUAACAC
rnacentral:rRNA from 1 species